GAGAUGCUGACUUCCAGCAACAUGAAAAGACAAGUGAGGAGGAGGAUUACGGGAACUUCCUCUCCUUGUGGUGUGGCCCGGUCAUAAUGGUGUUGUGGUUACGCGGCACAGGCUCAUUAAAACAAUAAGUAAACCACAACCGCUGUAAUUAGGAGUUCUCUUUUCCUGCACGCUUUGCUGAAAGACGAGGCGCCUGGGUCCCUGUCUCCUGCCAAUUACCAGCAGCGCUCCUGCGAUAUGGAGAGAUUAAUUUAGAACAGCAAGGAGCAGAAAUGGCUUCCACGCUAAUUCUUGCAAGGAUGAAAUGAGAAAAUGACUGCAAAGGAUUUAGCAGAGCACUUGGCAUGAAUGACAUUUGGAGUUUCCCUUCAUGGAACAAGUGAUCUCUCCAACCCUGAAGCUGCCCUAGUUCAAGGCCAGGGUCUGGUGUGGGGGUGAGUGGAAGGCACACAGCACCACCUACUGAACUGGGAUUUUCCAUAACCCAGAAGGAGGCCAAAAUGGGAGAGCUGUGUCGCAGCAGAGUGCUGCGCUCCAAGUUUAAACAGAGCUGAAGUGAAAGCUACAGGCCUGUUAAAAAGACAAUGUCUGCUGGAAGCCAAGGGUUAUUCGGCUUACCUUGGCGUCCAUGCUCUGACCAUUCAAUGACCAUCAGCCAUUGUUGGAGUGUGUUGGUGGCUCUGGGAAGCGGGCAGCCCGGUGGCUUGGAUCUCAGCUGUCCCCCAGGGGUUCUCUGGGGCUCCUUUUCUGCAUAACUUGGCUGCACUUCAGCAAGAAGUGGGAACUUGUGUGCCGACACCAAUGGGGGUCCUGGAAUCUUUUCUGAGGUGUGUGGGCCUUCCGUGGAAACCUUCAACAGCUGGAUGGAUGACCUUGAAUAAAAGGACAAGGUCCUCAAAGUCUGGAUUUCUCCGUGACUCACAACCAAAUAACAGUUCAUGUUGGCCUAGUUGCCUGCUCAUCUCUUCAGCAUCUGCACAUCAUUAGCUGAGGGAAAUAGUGGGGGAACCCAAACUCUAAAUGCUCCUCACCUUGAACUUGCUAACACAGAGUCCCCUGAAACACCUGACCCAAGCCCUGGUGUGUAGCAGAUGCUUACACAUGCCCAGUACACAAGUGAGUGAAGCCCACUGGUCACCUGGCCUGGAACUGGGAGGUGGUUCUCCCCCUUGACUGAUGGCACUGCAACCCCAUUCACAUCCUUCCCACAUGGCAUCCUUGGCUCCUUCUUUCAAUACAUUGGCCUCUGCCUCCACCUUCCUGCCCCUACGGUCUAUGAAAUGGGAUCCUGGUGACUAUCAUGUGUGAUGCUUGGGGAACCCAGGCAGUGACACCCUUAAUUAAGGAGAGCCCUGACUAGGUUUAUUGCACUGAUUUAUUCCCAGUUUAUAGAGAAAGGUUUGGAGCGUAGUAGGUUCUCAAUAAAUAUCUGCUGAAUGAC